CACCGCCCGUCACACUAUAGGAGCUGGCCAUGUUUGAAGUCAUUACCCUUAACCGUAACGAGGGGGAUGCCUAAGGCUAGGCUUACGACUGGAGUGAAGUCGUAACAAGGUAGCCGUACUGGAAGGUGCGGCUG
rnacentral:ncRNA from 1 species